GACGAACGCUGACGGUGUGCUUUAGACAUGCAAGUCGAACGAGAAAGCCCUUCGGGGUGAGUACAGUGGCGAACGGGUGAGUAACACGUGGGCAACCUGCCCCUCGCAGGGGGACGAACCGGAGGAAACUCCGGCUAAUACCCCGUAAGCUUGUUGGGUCGCAUGACCCUUCAAGGAAAGGUAGCUUCGGCCAUCCGGCGAGGGAUGGGCCCGCGGUACAUUAGCUAGUUGGUGGGGUAACGGCCCACCAAGGCGACGAUGUAUAGCUGGUCUGAGAGGAUGAUCAGCCACACUGGGACUGAGACACGGCCCAGACUCCUACGGGAGGCAGCAGUCGGGAAUCUUGCGCAAUGGGCGAAAGCCUGACGCAGCAACACCGUGUGAGCGACGAAGGCCUCGGUCGUAAG
rnacentral:rRNA from 1 species